AAUCUUUCGCAAUGGGCGAAAGCCUGACGCAGCCAUGCCUCGUUAAUUAUGAAGUACUUAGGUUUGUAAAAUUCUUUCACCGGGGACGAUAAUGACGGUACCCGGAGAAGAAGCCCCGGCUAACUUCGUGCCAGCAGCCGCGGUAAUACGAAGGGGGCUAGCGUUGUUCGGAAUUACUGGGCGUAAAGGGCGCGUAGGCGGAUCGUUAAGUCAGAGGUGAAAUCCCAGGGCUCAACCCUGGAACUGCCUUUGAUACUGGCGAUCUUGAGUAUGAGAGAGGUAAGUGGAACUCCGAGUGUAGAGGUGAAAUUCGUAGAUAUUCGGAAGAACACCAGUGGCGAAGGCGACAUACUGGCUCAUUACUGACGCUGAGGCGCGAAAGCGUGGGGAGCAAACA
rnacentral:rRNA from 1 species